rnacentral:rRNA from 1 species
AACGAACGCUGGCGGCAGGUCUAACACAUGCAAGUCGAACGCCCCGCAAGGGGAGUGGCAGACGGGUGAGUAACGCGUGGGAACCUACCCAGUGGUACGGAACAACCCAGGGAAACUUGGGCUAAUACCGUAUAUGCCCUCAGGGGAAAGAUUUAUCGCCAUUGGACGGGCCCGCGUUGGAUUAGCUAGUUGGUGGGUAAUAGCCUACCAAGGCAACGAUCCAUAGCUGGUCUGAGAGGAUGAUCAGCCACACUGGGACUGAGACACGGCCCAGACUCCUACGGGAGGCAGCAGUGGGGAAUCUUGGACAAUGGGCGCAAGCCUGAUCCAGCCAUGCCGCGUGAGUGAAGAAGGCCCUAGGGUUGUAAAGCACUUUCGGCGGGGACGAUAAUGACGGUACCCGCAGAAGAAGCCCCGGCUAACUCCGUGCCAGCAGCCGCCGUAACAC